CAGGAUCACGAAGAAGCUAU
rnacentral:miRNA from 1 species